GUACAGACGCGCCGGAGCAAACAGCAUGGCGAAGGCCGGGGAUAAGAGUGACAGUAAAGGAAAGAAAGGAGUGAAACGGAAAGCAACCGCCGAAGAACCUCAGGAAGCGGCAGUCGCUGAGGAUGGAGCGACGGAAAGCGGGGCCCAACCUCCGAAAGCGGCUGCCUUUCCCCCAGGCUUCAGCAUUUCGGAAAUUAAGAACAAACAACGGCGACACUUAAUGUUCACGCGGUGGAAACAGCAACAGCGAAAGGAAAAGUUGGCAAUUAAGAAAAAACUUAAAAAAGAGAGAGAAGCUCUUGGUGAUAAGGCUCCACCAAAGCCUGUACCAAAGACCAUUGACAACCAACGAGUGUAUGACGAAACUAUAGUAGACCCUAAUGAUGAAGAGGUCGCUUAUGAUGAAGCUACAGAUGAAUUUGCUUCUUACUUCAACAGACAAACUUCUCCUAAGAUUCUCAUCACAACGUCAGAUAGACCUCAUGGGAGAACAGUACGACUCUGUGAACAGCUCUCCACAGUUAUACCAAACUCACAUGUUUAUUACCGAAGAGGAUUGGCUCUGAAAAAAAUUAUUCCACAGUGUAUUUCAAGAGAUUUCACAGAUCUGAUCGUUAUUAAUGAAGAUCGUAAAACACCAAAUGGAUUAAUUCUAAGUCACUUGCCCAGUGGCCCAACUGCUCAUUUUAAAAUGAGCAGUGUUCGUUUGCGUAAAGAAAUUAAGAGAAGAGGCAAAGACCCUACAGAACAUGUACCAGAAAUAAUUUUGAAUAACUUUACAACACGGCUGGGUCAUUCUGUUGGACGUAUGUUUGCAUCUCUCUUUCCCCACAAUCCUCAGUUUAUUGGAAGGCAAGUUGCCACAUUCCACAAUCAACGGGACUAUAUCUUCUUCAGGUUUCACAGGUACAUAUUCAAGAGUGAAAAGAAAGUGGGAAUUCAGGAACUUGGACCACGUUUUACCUUAAAAUUAAGAUCUCUUCAGAAAGGAACCUUUGAUUCUAAAUAUGGAGAAUAUGAAUGGGUCCAUAAGCCUCGAGAAAUGGAUACAAGUAGAAGAAAAUUCCAUUUAUAAAGUAUUGAAGGAAUAGUAUUGGCUUGUGCUAAAACAGGGCCAUCUUGGAUUUAUGGCAGAAGACCUUUUCAGAAUGGUAUCGUGCAUAAGUUGGAAUCAAGAUUCAAAUUAAGUUUCCCAUGUAUACUUUCAUGGAACACUUGGGCUGGAGAGAAAAUACAGUCCUUGGUAGAUACUGUGUAACACAGGAGCUUUCUACCAGAAUGAACUUAGGUCUGGCACGUCGUUUUAACUCUGUUUCCUGUGAAUGAAAAUAUAUUAGAGGUGAGGUUUCUGGGAUAUUUUAAUAUUUCCUUAAGACAUUCAGAAUGGCAAAAAUUUUAAAGGAAAAUGGUUUACCAAGGACUUAAGGCAAAGUUGCAAAUUACAGAAACUGAUCUUCUCC